AGGUAGCGAAAUUCCUUGUCGGGUAAGUUCCGACCCGCACGAAAGGCGUAAUGAUUUGGAUGCUGUCUCGGAGAGAGGCUCGGUGAAAUAGACUUGUCUGUGAAGAUGCGGACUACCUGCACCAGGACAGAAAGACCCUAUGAAGCUUUACUGUAACUUGAAAUUGAAAUUGGACUUUAUUCGCGCAGUAUAGGUGGGAGGCGUUGAUUAUAAUCUUGCGGGAUUAUUGGAGCCAUCAGUGAGAUACCACUCUUGUAAUGUUAGAUUUCUAACUUUGAAUCAUUAUCUGGUCAAAGGACAAUUUCAGGCGGGCAGUUUGACUGGGGCGGUCGCCUCCUAAAUGGUAACGGAGGCGUACAAAGGUUUCCUCUGAACGGUUAGAAAUCGUAUCUAGAGUGUAAAGGCAUAAGGAAGCUUGACUGUGAGACCUACAAGUCGAGCAGGGACGAAAGUCGGUCUUAGUGAUCUGACGGUACUGAGUGGAAAGGCCGUCACUCAACGGAUAAAAGUUACUCUAGGGAUAACAGGCUGAUCUCCCCCAAGAGUUCACAUCGACGGGGAGGUUUGGCACCUCGAUGUCGGCUCAUCGCAUCCUGGGGCGGUAGUACGUCCCAAGGGUUGGGCUGUUCGCCCAUGAAAGCGGUACGC
rnacentral:rRNA from 1 species